AGCUUACAGAAAGACCUUGCUCACAGUGGAUUAAUUGUUGAGCUUUUGACCUUUGCAGUCAAUUGCGCUUUAGAAUUAGCCUUUGGUGGCGUUUGUUAUUUGGUUUUGGUGAUCAUCGACCUUCAAAAAGUGGGACAGAUGUAAUUUUGGAUCUACUGUCCAUUGGAUCACCUGCACAGAGAAGCUUGUCUAUAGUUGACAGUUUAUCUUACAAUACAAAUGGCAAAGCACCACUUUCACCAUUGGAGGACAUUUCAUGACUUUCACGUUCUUCAAGACCAAAUUCAAAUGCUGGAGCUGCUCCUAUGAUGGAUUUAUUGGAUGGUAUUGGUCCCAGCCCGUCCAAAGUUUCUUCAACUACAUUUAGAUCCAGCUAGUAGCAAUACUUUGCCUGCUGCUGGAAAUGGGUCCAUAACACACAGUUUGAAAGCUUACAAGAUGAAUGACAAGGAUACACUGGAAGAAGGCCAAGUCAAUAAUUUUCACACCCAGUCAAAAUUCAUGUUUGCUGGUGCAGUUUUUGCGUUUCAAUCCUGUCAAUGGUUUGAGCAUAUAUAUGACCACUUUUUGGCUCAAAAUUAAUAGACUCAAGGCACUUGAUUAUUUUAAAGCAUGGGUACUAUUGAAACUUGAAAGAACUAGGUAAA